GCUUACGGCCAUACCAACCUGGCUAUGCCCGAUCUCGUCUGAUCUCGGAAGCUAAGCAGGUUUGGGCCUGGUUAGUACUUGGAUGGGAGACCGCCUGGGAAUGCCAGGUGCUGUAAGCU
ensembl:rRNA 5S_rRNA 5S ribosomal RNA